GGCGGACGGGUGAGUAACGCGUAGGAAUCUGCCCAAUAGUGGGGGACAACCCGGAGAAAUCCGGGCUAAUACCGCAUACGCCCUACGGGGGAAAGGAGGGGAUCUCUUUGGAGACCUUUCGCUAUUGGAUGAGCCUGCGUCGGAUUAGCUUGUUGGUAGGGUAACGGCCUACCAAGGCGACGAUCCGUAGCUGGUCUGAGAGGACGAUCAGCCACACUGGGACUGAGACACGGCCCAG
rnacentral:rRNA from 1 species